rnacentral:rRNA from 1 species
AGUGAACGCUGGCGGUAGGCCUAACACAUGCAAGUCGAACGGCCGCACAGUAAGAGCUUGCUCUUACGGGUGGCGAGUGGCGGACGGGUGAGGAAUACAUCGGAAUCUACUUUUUCGUGGGGGAUAACGUAGGGAAACUUACGCUAAUACCGCAUACGACCUACGGGUGAAAGCAGGAGAUCUUCGGACCUUGCGCGAUUGAAUGAGCCGAUGUCGGAUUAGUUAGUUGGCGGGGUAAAGGCCCACCAAGGCGACGAUCCGUAGCUGGUCUGAGAGGAUGAUCAGCCACACUGGAACUGAGACACGGUCCAGACUCCGACGGGAGGCAGCAGUGGGGAAUAUUGGACAAUGGGCGCAAGCCUGAUCCAGCCAUACCGCGUGGGUGAAGAAGGCCUUCGGGUUGUAAAGCCCUUUUGUUGGGAAAGAAAAGCAGCAGGUUAAUACCCCGCUGUUCUGACGGUACCCAAAGAAUAAGCACCGGCUAACUUCGUG